AGAAUCAACGCUGGCGGCGUGCCUCAGACAUGCAAGUCGAACGCGAAAGUCCCCUUCGGGGGACAAGUAGAGUGGCGCACGGGUGAGUAACACGUAGGUAAUCUACCUUCAGAUGGGGAAUAACAACCGGAAACGGUUGCUAAUACCGCAUAAUGCAGCGGCACCUAAUGGUGACAGUUGUUAAAGCGGGGGAUCGAAAGACCUCGCGUCUGAAGAGGAGCCUGCGGCGGAUUAGCUAGUUGGUAGGGUAACGGCCUACCAAGGCGACGAUCC
rnacentral:rRNA from 1 species